AAGUCGUAACAAGGUUUCCGUAGGUGAACCUGCGGAAGGAUCAUUACAAAUCCAUCCACGUCUCAUUCUUGAGACCACGUUGAAAUGUUCCCUAGUGGCGUGCCUGCACACCGCUAGGCUUGUAAACUAGUACUAUCUGUUGCUCAAUUGUAUCUUUCUUGAUUGUAAUGAUCAGGGUAAACAAAGUACAACUUAUAACAAUGGAUCUCUAGGCUCUU
rnacentral:misc_RNA from 1 species